rnacentral:lncRNA from 1 species
CCUCUGUCUUAUCGCGCAACUCAUCACACAUCCACAAAAACGCGACCCACCCACUCCAACUGUCGGCCCUUAUGCCACUUCAAAUCAGCUGACUACUCGGAGAUCUGCCAGUGUUAUGACCAUACUUGGUUGUACAAGUGCUUCAUACAUGACCAGUCAGAAACAGCUUGAUCGGGAAUUAACUGUUAAUUAAUGCAGACUCUCAGUUUACCACUAGAAGAAAAGUACGGAUGAAGUGGAGGAAGGGGAGUAGGAGUCAGAAGAGAAAAAGAGGAGAAGAAGGAAGUAGAAGGAAUAAAUGAAGAAAAGGAAGAAACGUUUGCUACUAUGUCCAACUUAAGGUUCGUUUCCUGGAAGCAGGAGAUCUCAGCAAGGUUUCUCUAUGGAAAACUAAUGAUUGUCCGAACAUGCAACUAUCUCUUCUAUGCAUUGACGAUGUU